UGAACACAUUGAGUUUCUGUGAUGGCCUGGUAGCCUUUGGACAUCAGACUUGUCUGUUUUCUGCUCUAGAAUUGGCCUGCUCUGUGACUUCAGGAUUGGGUUGUUUGCCUUUGUCCCUGUCUGACCAUGGGAACAUGACUGGGCUAGCUGGCUGGAGGGAUAGGAGAGAGACAUGGACCAGAAUGGCCUAGUUUUGUCUAGCUGACCCCAGAUGUAUGAGCCCUCAGUUGCAACUUUGCCAGCUGCCUU
rnacentral:lncRNA from 10 species